GACGUAGGAGGCGAGCGUUGUCCGGAUUCAUUGGGCGUAAAGAGCACGCAGGCGGUUUGGCAAGUCGGAUGUGAAAACCCGGGGCUCAACUCCGGGCUUGCAUUCGAUACGGGCAGACUAGAGUUCGGUAGGGGAGACUGGAAUUCCUGGUGUAGCGGUGAAAUGCGCAGAUAUCAGGAGGAACACCGGUGGCGAAGGCGGGUCUCUGGGCCGAUACUGACGCUGAGGAGCGAAAGCGUGGGGAGCAAACAGG
rnacentral:rRNA from 1 species